rnacentral:snRNA from 1 species
AGCUUUGCGCAGUGGCAGUAUUGUAGCCAAUGAGGUUUAUCCAAGGUGCAAUUACUGCUAAUUGAAAACUUUUCUAAAAAAAAGGGGGGGAUGGCCCACCCUUUUCUGAAGUUGAAAAAAA